UGGGGGAUAUUGCACAAUGGGGGAAACCCUGAUGCAGCGACGCCGCGUGAGCGAUGAAGUAUUUCGGUAUGUAAAGCUCUAUCAGCAGGGAAGAAAAUGACGGUACCUGACUAAGAAGCCCCGGCUAACUACGUGCCAGCAGCCGCGGUAAUACGUAGGGGGCAAGCGUUAUCCGGAUUUACUGGGUGUAAAGGGAGCGUAGACGGCUGCGCAAGUCUGAAGUGAAAGGCGGGGGCUCAACCCCCGGACUGCUUUGGAAACUGUACAGCUAGAGUGUCGGAGAGGCAAGUGGAAUUCCUAGUGUAGCGGUGAAAUGCGUAGAUAUUAGGAGGAACACCAGUGGCGAAGGCGGCUUGCUGGACGAUGACUGACGUUGAGGCUCGAAAGCGUGGGGAGCAAACAGG
rnacentral:rRNA from 1 species